rnacentral:rRNA from 1 species
GCAAAUUUUUCCACCUGCUCGGUCUGCCGAAGGGUAGACCUCCCACCCUUGUGUAUUAUUACUUUGUUGCUUUGGCGAGCUGCCUUCGGGCCUUGUAUGCUCGCCAGAGAAUACCAAAACUCUUUUUAUUAAUGUCGUCUGAGUACUAUAUAAUAGUUAAAACUUUCAACAACGGAUCUCUUGGUUCUGGCAUCGAUGAAGAACGCAGCGAAAUGCGAUAAGUAAUGUGAAUUGCAGAAUUCAGUGAAUCAUCGAAUCUUUGAACGCACAUUGCGCCCCUUGGUAUUCCGGGGGGCAUGCCUGUUCGAGCGUCAUUUCAACCCUCAAGCUUAGCUUGGUAUUGAGUCUAUGUCAGUAAUGGCAGGCUCUAAAAUCAGUGGCGGCGCCGCUGGGUCCUGAACGUAGUAAUAUCUCUCGUUACAGGUUCUCGGUGUGCUUCUGCCAAAACCCAAAUUUUUCUAUGGUUGACCUCGGAUCAGGUAGGGAUACCCGCUGAACUUAAGCAUAUCAAAAACGGGAAGGAA